rnacentral:lncRNA from 1 species
AUUUUAAAAAUUAAAUUAGAGUUUAAAUUUAGAUUUAAAUCUAUGAAUCAAAUUUAAAAUUUAAUUUUAAUUUUGGAUCUAUUAUUUAAAUUUAAAUAAUUGUUGAUUUGAUAGAUAUUUUUAAAUUACUCUGUUUUUCAAACUAUUUGUUUUAAGUUAGUUAAUUAUUAUUAGCCUUAGUUUGAUAUUGAGACCUAUCUGAUGCUAUUAAAUAAAAUGGAAUUGGGAUAAAAGCAUAUAGGAUAUACUUCUGCGUUCUUCGGUGGAACCAUAGAAAAUAUAGCAUAACCGACUCAUCACAAUAUACGGAACGCGAUAUUACGUACGAAUACAAACAAGAUAUUUCCCACCGCACUUUCUCACCGCACGUAACACAAUUUCCUCGCAAUUCCAAACAAAUCCAUAGGGUACACGUUAAAUUUACAAAUUAAAUUAAACUUAAAAUAAAAUUUAAGUUAAAAUAAUUUUUGAAAU